CAAAGUCAAAACUCUUCCUGACAAACAAACAAGCUAUUGUUCACACGGAGUACAAGCAUGACUCACGGGAAGUCAAAGCCUCAUACAAAGUUCACUUGGGCUUCAGAAAACAGCUAAGGAUAUUUUCCACGGAAGAAAAUAGCAGCUGUUUGAGUGAAGAUGUACUGUCUUGUUACCAUUGGGCAGCCGUGGCCCAAUGGUUAAGAUCAUCGCCUGCCACCGUGGGGGACCUAGGUUCAAAACCCCGACUGGACCAUCCGCCAACAUCCCCCGGACUCACGGCUGUGGUGUCCUUGAGCAAGACACUGAUACCCCGAAAUGCUCCCCGGGUGCUUCAGCUGCCCCCUGCUCCAGUGUGUUCCACUAACAUGUGUAUGUGUUCACUGUGAUGGGUUAAAUGCAGAGAACAAAUUUCGUGUGCAGGCAUGCAUGUU